AUAUCAAUAAGCGGAGGAAAAGAAACCAACAGGGAUUACCCUAGUAACGGCGAGUGAAGCGGUAAUAGCUCAAAUUUAAAAUCUGGCUCUCUUCAAAAGAGGCCCGAGUUGUAAUUUGUAGAGGAUGCUUCGGGUGCGGUCUCGGCGUAAGUCCCUUGGAACAGGGUGUCAGAGAGGGUGAGAAUCCCGUCUUUCGCCGUUGGUUCCGCGCCCGUGUGAAGCUCCUUCGACGAGUCGAGUUGUUUGGGAAUGCAGCUCUAAGUGGGUGGUAAAUUUCAUCUAAAGCUAAAUAUUGGCCGGAGACCGAUAGCGCACAAGUAGAGUGAUCGAAAGGUUAAAAGCACCUUGAAAAGGGAGUGAAACAGUACGUGAAAUUGUUGAAAGGGAAGCGCUUGCGGUCAGACUUAGGGGGUUUUGUUUGGUAGACGCUUGCCGUCUAUUUACUCAAUUCCUCCUAGGCCAGCAUCGGUUUCUGUGGCCGUCAAAGGCCCCUGGAAUGUAUCGUCUUUCGGGACGUCUUAUAGCCAGGGGUGCAAUGCGGCCUAUAGGGACCGAGGAACGCGCUUCGGCUCGGAUGCUGGCAUAAUGGCCGUAAGCGGCCCGUCUUGAAACACGGACCAAGGAGUCUAACAUCCACGCGAGUGUUCGGGUGUCAAACCCGUACGCGUAGUGAAAGCGAACGGCGGUCAGAACCUUCGGGUGCAAGAUCGACCGAUCCUGAUGUCUUCGGAUGGAUUUGAGUAAGAGCGUGGCUGUUAGGACCCGAAAGAUGGUGAACUAUGCCUGAAUAGGGUGAAGCCAGAGGAAACUCUGGUGGAGGCUCGCAGCGGUUCUGACGUGCAAAUCGAUCGUCGAAUUUGGGCAUAGGGGCGAAAGACUAAUCGAACCAUCUAGUAGCUGGUUCCUGCCGAAGUUUCCCUCAGGAUAGCAGUAACGAUAUUCCAGUUUUAUGAGGUAAAGCGAAUGAUUAGAGGCCUUGGGGUUGAAACAACCUUAACCUAUUCUCAAACUUUAAAUAUGUAAGAAGUCCUUGUUACUUAAGUGAACGUGGACACUAGAAUGGAUCGUUAUUAGUGGGCCAUUUUUGGUAAGCAGAACUGGCGAUGCGGGAUGAACCGAACGCGAGGUUAAGGUGCCGGAAUGUACGCUCAUCAGACCCCACAAAAGGUGUUAGUUCAUCUAGACAGCCCGACGGUGGCCAUGGAAGUCGGAAUCCGCUAAGGAGUGUGUAACAACUCACGGGCCGAAUGAACUAGCCCUGAAAAUGGAUGGCGCUCAAGCGUACUACCCAUACCUCGCCGUCGGGGUUGAUUUGAAGCCCCGACGAGUAGGCAGGCGUGGGGGUCCGUGACGAAGC
rnacentral:rRNA from 1 species